AAAACACUUCACAAAGAAUGUUUCCAAUUAUUGUAGUGUCAUCUGCAUAUUUAAGAAUGGAAAAUGAACUGUGGGUGGAUGUGAGGGAGUUUGUGUAGAUGGAGAAAAUCCAAGGGGAAAGAACACAACCCUGA